GGGUAGAGUAAUGCGUGACCAACCUGCCCCAUGCUCCAGAAUAGCUCUUGGAAACGGGUGGUAAUGCUGGAUGCUCCAACUUGACGCAUGUCUUGUUGGGAAAGUGUUUAGUGGCAUGGGAUGGGGUCGCGUCCUAUCAGCUUGUAGGCGGGGUAAUGGCCCACCUAGGCUUCGACGGGUAGCCGGCCUGAGAGGGCGGACGGCCACAUUGGGACUGAGAUACGGCCCAGACUCCUACGGGAGGCAGCAGAG
rnacentral:rRNA from 1 species